CGCCCAUACCUUUCCUCGCGAGUCGCGAUACAACAGCGCCGCCCCUCCCAGCCGUCCUUCCCCUCGCUCCCUCACUCCGCCCUGCCGCCGGCUACCCUCCUCUCCAUCUCCGCACGCCGCACCCAGCGGCACCGUCCAACGCUAGGCCAUGCCUCUCCUCCCCGCCGCCAUGGCCGGCACCGGCGCGAUGCCGUCCGGGACGGCGGCCGAGUGGGCCGACAGAUUCUUCUCCAAUCGUCCGCUUCAGCGUCUGACCUCGCCUCCUCCGAUCCGGGGCCUCCCCAACGAUCCGCUCUGAUCCGAGGAACUCGCCGCCGGCCCUGCGUCCCCCUUACCCUCAGACUCGCGUCCGCCCUCGCCGUCGCCUCCUCCUCCGACAAGCCGGCGCUGCAAACCGAGGACGUUGUGGUCGUCCUCCACGUUGACGUGGCCUCCCCCGAGCCGGCGCCUUCCCGAGGAUCCGCUCCGAUCCGUCACCCUCACCCUCGGACCCGCGUUCGCGCUCGUCGUCCUCACCGGUACCCGCCUUCACGCGCGUCCCGACGGCGCCGCGUUGCACGAGUGGUGGGCUGUCAGUUAGGUGCGACACCGGCUUGUGCAGACGACGGCAUGAUGCGCCUUACGCAGGGGAGUGUGAACGGAGGCGUGAUGCAAGGGACGGAUCACCGGCAGCAUGAAGGUGCGACCAUGGCGGUGCCGAUGGACACAUCCUCUGUCCGUGCCUAGGUCGCCGUCGAGUCAGGUGCGACACUGCUUGUUGCAGACGGUCGCAGAGGAGCGCAAACGGUGAGCGGAGGCAUGACACAAAGGAGUGUCCGCUUCCAAGAUGUCGAAGCCGAGAUAGGAGAGACUUUUGGCAUUAUUUUUAACCAAGGUGAUAUUAAUUCAGUAAUUUUCAAGGAUGCGGAAGGAUGCUACCCAUUUCAUGAGAAUAAAUAAGGGAAAAAAGAGAAGUCAGUAGUUUUGAAAGGGGUAUCACUGCAGUCAGGUAUUCAGGAGAUUUCAUAUUCUUGUGACAAUGCUUCGCAAAAUUUUAGAGAAUAGAAGAAGAACUGAGCAAUGACAGGAGGAGUCCCAGCAAUAUUGUCUCAAUAGAUGAACUGGACAAACCAUCUGCAGUAGUAAAUAAGUUUGUUAAUUGGUGAAAGUUCUUGCCCUAACAGAUCAUGACACCAUGGCUGGCAUACGGGAAGCUGUUUCAGCAGAUUCCAAAUUUGGCAUUAGAAUAAUUCCUGGAGUUGAAAUCAGUAUAAUCCAAGGUAAGUGCCUUCUAGCUUUCAGCGAAAAGACCUUUCAAUCUCAACAAUUAUGCCAUGUUACUAAAACGAUGACAUCACAUCUUAUCGUUGCAUACUCUCGUCAAUAGGUCUGCAGUAUUGUUUAAUGUUGCAUCGCCUUUCAAAUAAAAUAGCACUGUAAACAGCAUUUAAGCAGUUUUACUAUGACUAUGGAUGUUUCAUAUGAUGAUUCAUCAUAUUAUGAAUUUUAUUGUCUAUAAGGGAAGGUGCUGGUGAGCCUGUUCAUAUCCUUGCAUACUAUGGUACAUGCGGUCCAUCAAGGUCUGAUGAGUUGUACAGCAUGCCAUUGAACAUUAGAGAUGGGAGAUACUUACGUGCAAAAAAUAUGCUGACAAAGCUUUAAAGUGGGAGCGUGUAACUAAAAUUGCUGGUGAGGGAGUGGCACCUGGUCGAGUGCAUGUAGCAAGGGCUAUGGUUAUGUAGAGAAUGUAAAGUUGGACGACCUUGGUGAUGGUGACCCCGCAUAUGCUAGGAUAGCGUUGCAUAUACCGGACGAGCGAGAACGAGUCGCUGGGGCUGCUUCUGAUCCCCAGCAUAUGCCGGAGGAUCAAGCACUCGACCUGGCGACCAUGACCAGAAUGCUGCUGGAGGUCGCGAACAAAUGUAAAGAAUUCAAAGUGCUACUGAAUACCACCGCGAGGCAAGGUACUUGAUACAUGAAGUUUGGUCCAAUUGCAUGCAAACUUAUUCACCUGCUGGUCAUUUCCGAGCUGUUUAGCAUCUACACUAUCUUGUGGAGGGAAAUAACCGUAGAUUCAAGUGCUACUAUUUCUAGAUGAAUGGAUGAGUUAUUUUUGUGUUGUUGAAGAUGAAUACACAGAUCUGCAAGAACGACCAUUAUCAGUGUACAUUCUAAUCUAAUAAACCUAGUUAUCUUUGUAGUAUUUUCACCUUUUUUCUGUGAAAAAUAGGAGUCACCACUACUAGCUAUAGUGAAAUCUUGUUCUGUCCUGUGGGUGUUGAGUUAUAUGCACUACGAGGUAACAUAGUUCUCAUUUAUUUUGCAAUAAUGGAGCACUAACUUUUCAAACUUGGUGUGCAGGUCUAGGCAUCCGGAUACUCUGUGAUCCCUGUUCCCGCCAAGUACCACAGUUUGCUCAUGCGGCUCUAUUGCGUGGGAUAGAUAUGAUAUAAUGCUUGCGAAAGGAUUUAGAUCAAUAAGAGUUCAGUAUUUGGUGCAUUUUAUAUCGUCAAAGUCAAAGUUAAUAGGAUAACAUGUACGACCAUUUAGAUGAUUGUGUGUGGAUAUUAAUAGAGCUUCAAAUAUUAUGUGUUUCAAAUAUCACGUGUUUUCUUAUACUCUGUUUAUUAUUAUGAAACUAUCUUUUAUUA